AGAGUUUGAUCCUGGCUCAGAUUGAACGCUGGCGGCAUGCCUUACACAUGCAAGUCGAACGGCAGCACGGGGGCAACCCUGGUGGCGAGUGGCGAACGGGUGAGUAAUACAUCGGAACGUGUCCUGUAGUGGGGGAUAGCCCGGCGAAAGCCGGAUUAAUACCGCAUACGAUCUACGGAAGAAAGCGGGGGAUCGCAAGACCUGCCGCUAUAGGGGCGGCCGAUGGCAGAUUAGCUAGUGGGUAGGGUAAAGGCCUACCAAGGCGAUGAUCGGUAGCUGGUCUGAGAGGAUGAUCAGCCACACUGGGACUGAGACACGGCCCAGACUCCUACGGGAGGCAGCAGUGGGGAAUAUUGGACAAUGGGGGCAACCCUGAAUCCAGCAAUGCCGCGUGUGUGAAGAAAGCCUUAGGGUUGUAAAGCACUUUUGGCAGGGAGGA
rnacentral:rRNA from 1 species